AGUGAACGCUGGCGGUAGGCCUAACACAUGCAAGUUGAACGGCAGCACAGUAAGAGCUUGCUCUUACGGGUGGCGAGUGGCGGACGGGUGAGGAAUACAUCGGAAUCUACUUUUUCGUGGGGGAUAACGUAGGGAAACUUACGCUAAUACCGCAUACGACCUACGGGUGAAAGCAGGGGAUCUUCGGACCUUGCGCGAUUGAAUGAGCCGAUGUCGGAUUAGCUAGUUGGCGGGGUAAAGGCCCACCAAGGCGACGAUCCGUAGCUGGUCUGAGAGGAUGAUCAGCCACACUGGAACUGAGACACGGUCCAGACUCCUACGGGAGGCAGCAGUGGGGAAUAUUGGACAAUGGGCGCAAGCCUGAUCCAGCCAUACCGCGUGGGUGAAGAAGGUCUUCGGGUUGUAAAGCCCUUUUGUUGGGAAAGAAAAGCAGCAGGUUAAUACCCCGCUGUUCUGACGGUACCCAAAGAAUAAGCACCGGCUAACUUCGUG
rnacentral:rRNA from 1 species